GUUAACUGAAAUAAAGAGUUAAAAAAAAAAACGAAAACUAACUGAAACUGUUUUGUGUGUUUACAAAACGAACUUAAACGAACUAAUAUUAUAGCAAAAACGUCCUUCGUUUUCGUCUUUGUAAUAAGCCUUUUGGGUUGAAUUAAAAUCUAUUUACUUCACGCAGCCAGUUUUAAGCCAGGUUUUUGACCAUUAUGGCAACACGUGGUCUGUGACGUCACUCGUCCAUAGUCGCCGGCUAGCGUGAUGGCUGCAGCGAAAGUCGGAAGAAAGCGGAAGAAAGUCCUAUUUGGGAUUUUUUGGAUUAUGACAGUGGCAAAAAUAAAAUGCCUUUUGGAUUGUCCCUUUUGCCCCUGUGGAUCUCAUGUUGCCACCUACUCACCUUAUCAUCGGCCAUCGAAAUGACUACACACUCUGGUAUUGACCCACUUACGGAGACACAGAACACUGCUCUCUCUGACCCUGGUAGUGUUGCUGUCUCUUGCUUCACGGUGCGCCACUCGCCAGCUCCAGUGCGUCUCCCUACUGCUGACGCCAAGGGAAGCAUCCUCGCUCAUCCAACCUCAUUCAUCUACAGCCAUGUCUGCUCGUGUGUCGUAACCCCACAAUCAUGACAGCCUGAUUCGUCAACCCGACACAGGCAGAAUCCCGGGGGACACAGUCAGAGUAGUGCUGGAUAUGAUUUCCCAUGUCCUCCUUGUCAUCACAGACCCUAUGUGCCCUGUUAGUUACACUGUUUUCUAAUGUUGGCCCUUCAAGUUACUGGAACUAGUGCUCCUAAUCUCUGGACGGCUCUCCAUCUGCGAGGGAGACUAAUGGCUCACAAAUUCUAUAGUUUUAAAAGACUUGCAUCCACAGUCUGCCUCUUUUGAAGCUACAAGCCAGCACUGGCACAGCAACUGCUGUAAAAGCCUACCUGGUUGCAUAACCAUUUAACAAGUGAACCCACAUAAAGUCUGGCACUGAAAGCUUUACUGCACAGGAAGUACAUCUGAGUUUUUGAACAAUAUAAUGCCUUGUAUAAUAGUUUUAUUUUCCAAGUAAUUGAGUUAUAA
rnacentral:lncRNA from 1 species